GAGGUUAUAGUUCAGUGGUAGAGUGCAUAGUUAGCAUGCAUGAGGUCCUGGGUUCAAUCCCCAGUACCUCCA
rnacentral:tRNA from 1 species